CCUCGCCCCAACGAUCAGAAUAUCCCGGGAGAUCGUGCUAAAUCGCGGCCAAUUAAUGAUUUCUUGGUGGACACCCGAGAUCCUAUGGUGAGAAGGGGCCAGAAAAUGACGAGACAACCGACACUGUAUCCUCUCUGAGAUGGUAAGAAAAGCCUUUCUGACUGUAUGCCCUUUCUCUGUUUGUUUUCUUUCCUCUUGUUAUGUGAGAUACGCCUCGACUUGGUGAGUUGAUGCUGCUUGGUCCCAUGGGCUGUAAGCCCAGGGAAGAUUUUCUAUUUAGAGGGCUUGCACUUCCAAAGCCUCCGUUUAUGCUUCUAUCAGAAAGACGCCGACUGCUAGUGCCUGGCCUUGUUCCAAAUGGGCUGUCAGGCUCAGGUACUACUUUACUCUGUACCUUCUUCUGUUCCUGCAUUUAAGAUCACCCUUGUGUAUUGAAAUAUUCUAAAAAUGCCAUAAUCACAGUUUAUAGUAGUAUAAGGGAGUAUGGAGAGAUUAGUGAAUGAGAAUGAAAAAGGUUCUGAAGAUAUUACCCGUUGUCUUUGUUUCUCCUCUUCCUUUUCCUUUCUCAACAUAUGGUACUCUUCAAGCAUUGCUAGUAGAGGAACCUGAAGUCCGGAUUUUAGUUCUAGUACAAAGGUUUAUUCAGAAACAUUGCAAAGCUGAAUAAUGAGGCAUAAAAGGCUUUGGAUUCUGAUCAUUCUGUGAAUGAAAUCAAAGUUAGUUUCCUAGAAAACUGAACAAGUGCAUGAUCAUGAAAUGAAAAACCAACUCAAGUGUGUAUAAGUUAUCCUGAGAGUGUUCUCUCUGCUGGAACGUUAUCUACCUAACCAGUUUAACACUACAAUUUCAUCACUUCUAUGAAUACCAUGUCUAUCAUAUAUCCAAGAAUGUGUCUUCACUGUUCCACAGCUUUCUAUAUAGAUAACUUUUACUUGUUAUAUUCCCCGAUCACAUGGGAAGAUGGUACGUAUUCAUUAUGCUUACAAGAAUGAUUCACUGAAGUAGCUAUUCCGAACAGUAUACCUCAUCAUACAAGAAGACUUUCUUUCUUUCAUCUUCCCAGUCCUUAGUCUUGGAUAUCAGCAAGUCCACCAAAGCUGCCAGGAGGAUGAAACAGACAAAUUUAAUAUGGUUAUCAACCCUUUUAAACUCAUCUAGUUGGUUUAGUCUUUCAUUCUAGUACAAAAUAAUGCAUUAGUAAUAAUCAUGGAGAUAACUCUUAACCUGGUAUCUUGUUGACCAUCAAUCUGGCUCGCUCAGCUCUUUUAAGGUUCUUAUGAGCACCUCUGCUAACCGAAUAGCGAUUUUCAUCCUGAAUUGGGAAAUUAGCAGCUAAGAUUUUCUUGCUGAAGGGGUUCUUAAUGUAUUUGUAUUUAAAUGAAGAAGAGAAGAAUCUGACCAUGCUGUACUCUUCUAACCAGAGCUCCUCGUCACAUGCCAAUAUCCACUUUUCAACCUUCUCCAUGAUCACCUUCCUGCUACUAGCUUCUUCUUCAGCUCUUGAUAUCUGCUCAUCCACACUUGUGAGGAGAUCGGCAUGAUCAAUCUCCCCUUUUAUAUGUAUGGCCAUGGGUCAAAUGUGAUAUAGGAGUAUGAGCUACAACUAAAAAUUUUCUUUCUAAAAAUUCAGUCUUACCAGAGUCUAUUUGGCUGAUUAUUUUUUCCAUCUCCGAUCUCGAUGGUAUUUCCAUGUGUGAUUUUCUGCAUAUGUCCUCGAGCUCUAUUUGUUUCUUGAAGAAAAACUCUUUCAUCUUGCUUGCUUUCAACUGAUCCAGUCUCUUCACUUCAGUGCCAGCCUUGAAAACGAUUUAUAAUCAAAUUAAAUCAUUUCUAGCAUAUAAUUCUAGAGAAGUAUCUGACGGUAUACCUGCUGCACCAUGUCAAGAGUAAGGCUUCCGGGAGUGGAUAUCUCCGCUGAUGCCAUCGAUGAUAGAUUGGCAACACGCAGAAAUUCUUGACGAUCUUUAUAGGGUGUAUCCAUGAGACUCCACAAAUUAGACAAUGCUUUACCAAGUUGUUGCAGCUGAAUAAAUAAAUCAACUAAAUAUAGUUAAUAUGCUAAAUCAUACAUAUAUUUUGAUUUGAACCAGCUUACUAUCUGAAAUUUGCACAAGAUAUAAAAAAAUCAAUUACCUUGUUAAACCGUGUUUGUUUUUCUGAUUGAAGGGACUUCACUGUUCUAUCAAGCUUUUCCAGGAUACCAUCACUAAUGUUCUUUGACAAUCCUGAUAAUUCGUUCAAGCUUGGGUGCACCUUUGUUAUGAUCGAUGAAGAAUCCAUUCCUAAAGUGGCUGACAAAUUUCUAAUUGUGCUUAUGCAGUUUUCCAUCCUCUGAAGUCUGUCGCUCUUUUGAUAGGGAUACAAACAUGCAAGAAAACAAAUAAAAGUGAUUGGUUUCUCAAUUUUUUAUUUAGCCCCUAACAACAUAUUUUCACUAGAGUACCUUCUCACUCUGAAGUCUCUGAAGCUCAUUUUGGAACUCCUCAAGUUUCUUAAGUGAAAGAUCAUUCUCAUUGACACAAACAGGUGAUGUUGAAUCGUUAUACUCUGUCCACCCUGCAAUUUCUGCAGAAAUUUUAUGAAUUUGCCCUUGUACAACACGGAAUUGCUUUACUCGCUCUUCUUUCCUUAACUGCAUCUCUCUUAGUGCUGGGGUUAUAGAAUUCAGUUGCUCUUUCAGCGUUCCUUCCAUUUUCUCUGGCUGUCGAGGAUGAAAAAGGUACUUGAAUCAAAACAUAACAGUACAUAUUUUAAAGCUUUUCUCCUGCUAAGAUCUAUAAAUAUUGUUUGCUGUAAUGCAAAAAUAUCAGAUUGUCAAGCUUCCUUCCCCUGUAAUGUUACAUUAAUAGAUGUUUUAAAUUAGUUUUUUUACAUAAUUGCAAUAUUUUCAUUUUUUUUAACAUUAUGAUUGUCUCUUGAUCUUCAUGCAGAAAGCAUUGAGAGUAUUUUUCAUGUUUCAUAUUAUUAGGUUUCUGUUAAAUUAUGUGAUCAUGACCAAGAGCUACAACUAUAUUGGCUCUUCCAUGAUACAGUACUGAAUGAGUUGCUUAUACAAAGGUUUCGAUUUAACUGGUUUGUAGUGUAUAUCUUACCCUUCCUGGCAGUGAUCUCUCUCCAAGGGAGAGGAGGAGAUGCGUAAACUCAGCCUCGGAUUCUGCAAGCUGCUGAUGUAGUCGAGCUCGUGAAAUGUUAGCUCUGUCAACUUUACGUCUAUAAAUCUCGAGGCACUCCUGUUCAAGAUCCAGCAGAAACUUUUCCCGCUCUAAUUUGUCUUCUCCGAUUUCAUCCCAUAUGAUCUGCAAGCGAAAGGCCCGUGUUACAACAAUCCGCAAGUAGCCACACGACGUCUCCAGCAAUGCUAAACUUCCCAUCCCACCAUUUGAUUUCUCUAAGGAUCCCAUCAAGAGAAUCUGUUGUGAUGAGAUGAUGAAAGACUAGAGAUUUAGCAGUCGUUUCCUAGAAGCGACUAGUGUUGUCUCGUACCACAAGAGCAGUUUUAAAAAGUAGAGAGAUGGAGGGACCAUAGUGAGGUGGGACUUUGGUUUUGGGAGUGAAUAUUUGCUUGAAAGAUAAGGUUUCACUGGUGGGUGACAGUGGAACUUUAGGCUCAAGGAUUCUUUGUUGCUUUUGAUCUUUGAGGACUUGAUUCUCAAGCAAAGCUCUCUGGAAAAAGGGGAAAAAGAAAUGGUAAGGCAUCUUAUAUUUGUGCUUGAGAAUCUUGUAGUAUUAGAUUAUCAUAUGAGAAUCCACUUUUCUUGGAAACUUACUCAUUUUAUCUCAGAUAAUUAGUAAAGUCACAUUUACUAAUGUUAUGUUA